AGUGAACGCUGGCGGUAGGCCUAACACAUGCAAGUCGAACGGCAGCACAGUAAGAGCUUGCUCUUACGGGUGGCGAGUGGCGGACGGGUGAGGAAUACAUCGGAGUCUACUUUUUCGUGGGGGAUAACGUAGGGAAACUUACGCUAAUACCGCAUACGACCUACGGGUGAAAGCAGGGGAUCUUCGGACCUUGCGGGAUUGAAUGAGCCGAUGUCGGAUUAGCUAGUUGGCGGGGUAAAGGCCCACCAAGGCGACGAUCCGUAGCUGGUCUGAGAGGAUGAUCAGCCACACUGGAACUGAGACACGGUCCAGACUCCUACGGGAGGCAGCAGUGGGGAAUAUUGGACAAUGGGCGCAAGCCUGAUCCAGCCAUACCGCGUGGGUGAAGAAGGCCUUCGGGUUGUAAAGCCCUUUUGUUGGGAAAGAAAAGCAGCAGGUUAAUACCCCGCUGUUCUGACGGUACCCAAAGAAUAAGCACCGGCUAACUUCGUG
rnacentral:rRNA from 1 species